CUUUCAACAACGGAUCUCUUGGUUCUGGCAUCGAUGAAGAACGCAGCGAAAUGCGAUAAGUAAUGUGAAUUGCAGAAUUUAGUGAAUCAUCGAAUCUUUGAACGCACAUUGCGCCCUCUGGUACUCCGGGGGGCAUGCCUGUUCGAGCGUC
rnacentral:rRNA from 1 species